AAAGAAGUUCAUAUACAUAUUGUAACGACAGCGUAAAGAGAAUUAAGAACCAUUUUGAUGCGGGGACUCUGGUUUCCGGGUGUCGGACAGACAUUCAAGGAAAUACAAUGAAGAGUUUGAUCCUGGCUCAGGAUGAACGCUAGCGGCAGGCCUAACACAUGCAAGUCGAGGGGCAGCGGGGAAAAGCUUGCUUUUCCGCCGGCGACCGGCGCACGGGUGCGGAACGCGUAUGGAACCUGCCCCUGUCAGGGGAAUAGCCCAGGGAAACUUGGAUUAAUGCCCCAUGGUACCAAUAUAUCGCAUGAUAUUUUGGUUAAAGAUUUAUCGGACAGGGAUGGCCAUGCGUACCAUUAGUUAGAUGGUGAGGUAACGGCUCACCAUGGCAGCGAUGGUUAGGGGCCCUGAGAGGGGGAUCCCCCACACUGGUACUGAGACACGGACCAGACUCCUACGGGAGGCAGCAGUGAGGAAUAUUGGACAAUGGUCGGGAGACUGAUCCAGCCAUGCCGCGUGCAGGAUGACUGCCCUAUGGGUUGUAAACUGCUUUUAUACGGGAAGAAACCCACCUACGUGUAGGUGGCUGACGGUACCGUAAGAAUAAGGACCGGCUAACUCCGUGCCAGCAGCCGCGGUAAUACGGAGGGUCCGAGCGUUAUCCGGAAUCAUUGGGUUUAAAGGGUCCGUAGGCGGGCCGUUAAGUCAGGGGUGAAAGUCUGCGGCUCAACCGUAGAAUUGCCUUUGAUACUGGCGGUCUUGAGUCAUGGUGGGGUUGCCGGAACAUGUGGUGUAGCGGUGAAAUGCAUAGAUAUCACAUAGAACACCGAUCGCGAAGGCAGGUGACCAACCAUGUACUGACGCUGAUGGACGAAAGCGUGGGUAGCGAACGGGAUUAGAUACCCCGGUAGUCCACGCCGUAAACGAUGGAUACUAGCUGUGGGGACUUCGGUCUCCGUGGCCAAGCGAAAGUGAUAAGUAUCCCACCUGGGGAGUACGUUCGCAAGAAUGAAACUCAAAGGAAUUGACGGGGGCCCGCACAAGCGGUGGAGCAUGUGGUUUAAUUCGAUGAUACGCGAGGAACCUUACCAGGGCUUAAAUGCAGGCUGCAUGGGGUAGAGAUACCCCUUUCUUCGGACUGCCUGCAAGGUGCUGCAUGGUUGUCGUCAGCUCGUGCCGUGAGGUGUCAGGUUAAGUCCUAUAACGAGCGCAACCCCUACCGUUAGUUGCCAGCAUGUCAAGAUGGGGACUCUAACGGGACUGCCGGUGCAAACCGUGAGGAAGGUGGGGACGACGUCAAAUCAUCACGGCCCUUACGUCCUGGGCCACACACGUGCUACAAUGGCCGGUACAGAGGGAAGCCACCCCGCAAGGGGGCGCGGAUCUAUAAAACCGGUCACAGUUCGGAUCGGGGUCUGCAACUCGACCCCGUGAAGCUGGAAUCGCUAGUAAUCGGAUAUCAGCCAUGAUCCGGUGAAUACGUUCCCGGGCCUUGUACACACCGCCCGUCAAGCCAUGGAAGCCGGGAGUGCCUGAAGUCCGUCACCGAGAGGAGCGGCCUAGGGCAAAAUCGGUAACUAGGGCUAAGUCGUAACAAGGUAGCCGUACCGGAAGGUGCGGCUGGAACACCUCCUUUCU
rnacentral:rRNA from 1 species